rnacentral:tRNA from 1 species
AUUAAAAUGGCAGAUAAAUGCAAAGGAUUUAAGCUCCUUAUAUAUUAUAUAUUAUAUAAUUUUUAAUA